UUGUCAAGAAGUCUGUACCUGUUCCAGCUGUUCCUGUGGUCCUGGUAUCUUCCCUGUGAUUGGACGGUCAUCACCUUACAUGUAUGUUAGUUCUCUUUGUGUUCUUUAUUGAACUCUGUCGUACCAACUGCAGCCUUGUCCUCACCUGUUCUGCUUUUGGGUCGACAAAUCCAAAAACUUUGCAGCAAAAAAAUUGACAAACAAAAACAAAUGGAAAAAAAAUCGACAAACAUCAUGGUUGGAAAAAAGUUUUCAUUUAGGUCGAUGGAAGACAACACGAGGGUUAGCUCAUAUAUACAGUUUCACUCAACACAGCAGCCGCGGAUUUGACUCCGACUUGAGGCCCUUUGCUUGUCUGCAGAUAAUUAAUAAAGAAACGGAGAGGAAGAGGAGUCAAACAUCACCGCUGUCAGCACUGUGACAAAUCCUUCACAACUGCAACCUCUUUACAGAUUCAUCAGAGUUCACACUGGAGAGAAGCCGUACAGCUGUGAUCAAUGUGGGGCAGCUUUCACACGCCAGAAAAAACAAAGUUGGUCAAUGGGAAGUCACAAGAAAUGCUGAGCUUCAAGUUGUUUAACAAAACCAAACAAGUCCCUUUACAGGACACCGUGGACAAGUUCCAGUACAAGAUGUCCUGUAAAGAACAAGGCAUUGUGGGUCUGCAGUGAGCUGGGAAUCCCUGCCUUAGUUCACGGCAGACUUGUCAAGAUGUAUCAAAAUCACAAGAUAACCAUGAAGAUCUCUAUCUUUGGCAUUGUGCUGCUGCGUUCUGCUGUCAUGCUCUCUCUGGACUUUGUGAGAGAAGAUGAAGAAAGUCCGGCUGCAAAGUUUAAGCAGCAUAUCAUCGAGGUGAUGAACAGUAAUGGCUGCACCAACAUGAUGAAUGACAGAGGAAUCACAGACUACAACGGAAAGUGUAAGCUGAAGAAUACCUUUAUCAGAGCGCCUAUCAGAACCGUCAGAGACAUCUGUGUGACUGGAGGACAGAAAUAAAAUACUUUAAUAAAAAGAAA